GGCCUACCGUGGUGGUAACGGGUAACGGGGUGUUAGGGCACGACACCGGAGAGGGAGCCUGAGAAACGGCUACCACAUCCAAGGAUGGCAGCAGGCGCGCAAAUUACCCAAUCCCGACACGGGGAGGUAGUGACAAUAAAUAACAAUACGGGGUUCUUUCGGAUCUCGUAAUUGGAAUGAGUACAAUUUAAAUCUCUUAACGAGGAACAAUUGGAGGGCAAGUCUGGUGCCAGCAGCCGCGGUAAUUCCAGCUCCAAUAGCGUAUAUUAAAGUUGUUGCAGUUAAAAAGCUCGUAGUUGAAUUUCGGAAUCAAUAUGUUGGUCGUGCCUUGGUACGUACUGGCAUUAUUGGUUUCUACCUUCUGAAGAACCUCGAUGUCAUUAAUUUGGUGUCUUGGGGAAUCAGGACUGUUACUUUGAAAAAAUUAGAGUGUUUAAAGCAAGCUCACGCUUGAAUACAUUAGCAUGGAAUAAUGAAAUAGGACGUUUGAUUCUAUUUUGUUGGUUUCUAGGAUCGACGUAAUGAUUAAUAGGGAUAGUUGGGGGCAUUAGUAUUCAAUUGUCAGAGGUGAAAUUCUUGGAUUUAUUGAAGACUAACUACUGCGAAAGCAUCUGCCAAGGAUGUUUUCAUUAAUCAAGAACGAAAGUUAGGGGAUCGAAGACGAUCAGAUACCGUCGUAGUCUUAACCAUAAACUAUGCCGACUAGGGAUCGGAUGAUGUUAAUUUUUUAAUGACUCAUUCGGCGCCUUACGGGAAACCAAAGUGUUUGGGUUC
rnacentral:rRNA from 1 species